AUUGAACGCUGGCGGCAGGCCUAACACAUGCAAGUCGAGCGAGCGGCGGACGGGUGGGUAAUGUAGGGGGACUGCCCGAUAGAGGGGGAUAACUACUGGAAACGGUGGCUAAUACCGCAUACUAUCGGAUAACCCAUAUGGGAUUAGCUAGGAGGGGGGGUAAAGGCUCACCGAGGCGACGAUCUCUAGCAGGUCUGAGAGGAAGAUCAGCCACACUGGGACUGAGACACGGCCCAGACUCCUACGGAGGCAGCAGUGGGGAAUAUUGCACAAUGGGCGCAAGCCUGAUGCAGCCAUGCCGCGUGUAUGAAGAAGGUCUUAGGGUUGUAAAGUACUUUCAGCGGGGAGGCGUUACCCACAGAAGAAGCACCGGCUAACUCCGUGCCAGCAGCCGCGGUAAUUC
rnacentral:rRNA from 1 species